GAUGAACGCUGGCGGCGUGCUUAACACAUGCAAGUCGAACGAUGAAGCCCAGCUUGCUGGGUGGAUUAGUGGCGAACGGGUGAGUAACACGUGAGUAACCUGCCCUUGACUCUGGGAUAAGCCUGGGAAACUGGGUCUAAUACUGGAUAUGACUUCUCAUCGCAUGGUGGGGGGUGGAGAGAUUUAUUGGUCUUGGAUGGACUCGCGGCCUAUCAGCUUGUUGGUGAGGUAAUGGCUCACCAAGGCGACGACGGGUAGCCGGCCUGAGAGGGUGACCGGCCACACUGGGGCUGAGACACGGCCCAGACUACUACGGGAGGCAGCAGUGGGGAAUAUUGCACAAUGGGCGCAAGCCUGAUGCAGCGGCGCCGCGUGAGGGAUGACGGCCUUCGGGGUGUAAACCUCUUUCAGUAGGGAAGAAGCGGGAGUGACGGUACCUGCAGAAGAAGCGCCGGCUAACUACGUG
rnacentral:rRNA from 1 species